UCGAUUGAUCCUGGCUCAGGAUGAACGCUAGCGGCAGGCUUAACACAUGCAAGUCGAGGGGCAGCACAAGAUUGCUUGCAAUCUGGUGGCGACCGGCGCACGGGUGCGUAACGCGUAUACAAUCUACCUUAUAGAGGGGGAUAGCCCAGAGAAAUUUGGAUUAAUACCCCAUAGUAUUAUAGAACAGCAUUGUUUUAUGAUUAAACAUUUAUGGCUAUAAGAUGAGUAUGCGUUCUAUUAGCUUGAUGGUAAGGUAACGGCUUACCAUGGCUACGAUAGAUAGGGGUCCUGAGAGGGAGAUCCCCCACACUGGUACUGAGACACGGACCAGACUCCUACGGGAGGCAGCAGUGAGGAAUAUUGGACAAUGGGCGAGAGCCUGAUCCAGCCAUGCCGCGUGCAGGAAGACGGCCCUAUGGGUUGUAAACUGCUUUUAUACAGGAAGAAACACUCCCUCGUGAGGGAGCUUGACGGUACUGUAAGAAUAAGGAUCGGCUAACUCCGUGCCAGCAGCCGCGGUAAUACGGAGGAUCCAAGCGUUAUCCGGAAUCAUUGGGUUUAAAGGGUCCGUAGGCGGGAUAAUAAGUCAGCGGUGAAAGUCUGUGGCUCAACCAUAGAAUUGCCAUUGAUACUGUUGUUCUUGAGUGUUUAUGAAGUGGUUAGAAUAUGUAGUGUAGCGGUGAAAUGCAUAGAUAUUACUCAGAAUACCGAUUGCGAAGGCAGAUCACUAAUAAUACACUGACGCUGAUGGACGAAAGCGUAGGUAGCGAACAGGAUUAGAUACCCUGGUAGUCUACGCCGUAAACGAUGGUUACUAGCUGUUCGGUACGAUUGAGUACUGAGUGGCUAAGCGAAAGUGAUAAGUAACCCACCUGGGGAGUACGUUCGCAAGAAUGAAACUCAAAGGAAUUGACGGGGGCCCGCACAAGCGGUGGAGCAUGUGGUUUAAUUCGAUGAUACGCGAGGAACCUUACCAAGGCUUAAAUG
rnacentral:rRNA from 1 species